rnacentral:rRNA from 1 species
GACGAACCGUCCUAACGUUGUUCGGAAUCACUGGGCUUAAAGGGCGCGUAGGCGGGCAACCAAGUCCGGGGUGAAAUCUUUCGGCUUAACCGGAAAAUAGCCUUGGAUACUGGUGGUCUCGAGGGAGGUAGGGGCCGUUGGAACUUCCGGUGGAGCGGUGAAAUGCGUUGAUAUCGGAAGGAACGCCGGUGGCGAAAGCGAACGGCUGGACCUCUUCUGACGCUGAGGCGCGAAAGCCAGGGGAGCAAACGGG